AAGUCGAGGGGCAGCAUAAAUUACUUGUAAUUUGAUGGCGACCGGCGAACGGGUGCGUAACGCGUAUGCAACUUACCUUUUACUAGAGAAUAGCCAAGAGAAAUUUUGAUUAAUGCUCUAUGUUCUUAUUUACUCGCAUGAGUAAAUAAGCAAAGCUCCGGCGGUAAAAGAUGGGCAUGCGUCCUAUUAGCUUGUAGGUGAGGUAAUGGCUCACCUAAGCUCCGAUAGGUAGGGGUCCUGAGAGGGAGAUCCCCCACACUGGUACUGAGACACGGACCAGACUUCUACGGAAGGCAGCAGUAAGGAAUAUUGGACAAUGGAGGCAACUCUGAUCCAGCCAUGCCGCGUGAAGGAAGACGGCCUUAUGGGUUGUAAACUUCUUUUAUACAGGAAGAAACCUUUCCACGUGUGGAAAGCUGACGGUACUGUAAGAAUAAGGAUCGGCUAACUCCGUACCAGCAGCCGCGGUAAUACGGAGGAUCCAAGCGUUAUCCGGAAUUAUUGGGUUUAAAGGGUCCGCAAGCUGUUUGUUA
rnacentral:rRNA from 1 species